rnacentral:tRNA from 1 species
GCCCGGAUGGCGGAAUUGGUAGACGCGCUGGUCUCAAACACCAGUGACAGCAAUGUCGUGCCGGUUCGACCCCGGCUCCGGGUACAA